rnacentral:rRNA from 1 species
CCUACGGGUGGCAGCAGUGAGGAAUAUUGGGCAAUGGGCGCGAGCCUGAACCAGCCAAGUAGCGUGAAGGAGGACUGCCCGACGGGGUGUAAACUUCUGUUAUAAAGGAAUAAAGUGAGGCACGUGUGCCUUUUUGUAUGUACGUUAUGAAUAAGGAUCGGCUAACUCCGUGCCAGCAGCCGCGGUAAUACGGAGGAUCCGAGCGUUAUCCGGAUUUAUUGGGUUUAAAGGGAGCGUAGCUGGGUUGUUAAGUCAGUUGUGAAAGUUUGCGGCUCAACCGUAAAAUUGCAAUUGAUACUGGCAGUCUUGAGUCCAGUUGAGGUAGGCGGAAUUCUUGGUGUAGCGGU